GAGUUAUUAACCAACUGCGGGGCCUUCCAGAAAUGGUAGAACUUCAUACAUUGAAUUGCUGAUAUACAAAGUGCUAGUAACAAAAAAAGGAAACUUUGAGGAAUUUGGAUUUGCCUCUACAUCCUUUUAUUUUUGUGUAGAAGCCAGUGGUUUAAGAGUGGAGAAAAUAUUUGUAUGUAAUAAUAACAUUUUAUAUCUUGUUUUUAUUAAUAAAUAAUGAUUUUACCUUAA
rnacentral:lncRNA from 1 species